rnacentral:lncRNA from 1 species
AAUGGCUGAUACCACACCAAUGGUUUCUCUGCUAGAUUUAACAGGCAGUUCCUGGGAAUAUUUUUAAAUUGUUACUUAAAUUGUAGCCUAGGAGGCAAACUCCUAGGCAACAGCAUUGGGCAUGCCUUCUUACAUAUGGCUAUAUGACUUAGCUUCUUUACAUAUCUCGACUACAGGUAUCUGGGUACAUUGUGUGAAUCCAAGUGCUAAGUGUUGGGCUCUUCUUUUGCUGUCUAUGAGUUGUGAUGAAAUCAGCCUUCUGCCAACAUGCUCUUUCACAUUUGUACUGGCUGACAUCACAAGCAGUUUGGAAAAAAGAAAAAGAAAAAAACCUCUGUUCUGCCUUAUGGAAUCAGCCAUUCCUCUGUAUUUGCCUUUGGUCUUAUGGAGAUGGCUUGAAUUUUCAGGUUGAGGCUUCCCACACAGUCACUGGCAGAGCCUGAGCAGCCAUCUUGGCAGAUGUGCAGUGUCUUCCAAGGCAGGAGACAAAGGGAUUUUUCAUCCAUUAUUAAUUGAUGUCCCUCUUCAGCAGACCAAACAUGAUUCUACUAUAUAGCUGCCAAAAUUGUUUCAGGUCCACAAAAGAACAAUAAGUCAUUCUUUUCAAGUGUGCUUCUUAGUACCUAAUUUAACAAAUGUUUCCAGUAGCUUUUCAGCUUCUUUUAGUAGUCUGAUUACUAUGUUUGAUGCACAUACAAUUGGGUAUUUUUACGAGCAGUACUCCCAACCAUUUUAGUGUUCUCAUGACCAAUUCCAAGAAACAAUGUUCUUCCAUUAGCGUUCAAAAGACUAUGCCAAAGUGGAAAGUGAACCCCCUAAAACCAUUUUACAUUACCUAUGUGGUACGAAGUGGCAGGCAGGGCACUGUGUCAACUAGAGGCUUCUUAUUAUCCCAGAGUAAGCACCUGAAGUUUGGCUUUUUCUUCGUGACUUCUCUACCCUCCCUAUUUCAUGUUCCUGUACUUGAUAGGUAUCCAACUGGUUUGGCAACAAACGAAUCAGGUACAAGAAGAACAUCGGCAAAUUUCAAGAGGAGGCCAAUCUCUAUGCUGCAAAAACAGCCGUGACAGCCGCACAUGCAGUGGCUGCAGCCGUGCAGAACAACCAGACCAACUCACCCACCACGCCAAACUCUGGUGAGUACGGCUUGCUCACUCCCUACUCAGCCAGACAGGCAUCUGCCACAGCCUCCCAGCCCACAGACUCUGAAGCUUCAGCCUUACUGGGUGCACAGUGGGGCUCUCGGGAGAUUUGCAUUUGCUUGCAGGCUUGUUCUGGAGAUGGAUAAAUAAGGCCACAGCCUGUGCUGGUAAACCCACUGUUCACAGUCAGUGCCACUUGCUCCUGUAGAUUCUAGAACCAUUAUACCAGUCAUGGCCUUUAAUUCAGCAGUUAGACAAAGGUCCAUCAUAUACUGUGCUGCCCAUCCCGUUAGGGUUAUUGGUGAUCUGUCAGAGUGAAGCAGCAGGAUGUGCUGGUUGCUGGGCAGCUGAACGUUGGGCUGAGAUGUUGCUGUGCUUCCUGUGUUCUUGACUUCAGGCUCGAGGUGCAACCUGUAUCUGUGCCAUGUGGCUUGCUGGGCUUAUAUAUAAGGAGAUGGGUUUUUUGGUUUUGCUUUUUGUGGUAGUAAGGAUUGAACCCAGGGUUUUGCAUAAGCAAAGCUUAGUCCUUUGCCAUUGAUCUACAUAAUUACCACCCCCCCUUUUAAGAUAGUCUUAUUAAAUUGUCCAAGAAAGCCUUGAACUCACUUUAUAGCUCUGUCUGGCCUCAGACUUGUGAUUCCUCUGCCUCAGCUGCAUAGGUGGGAUUGCAUGUGUGUGCCGCCACAGCUGGCUAUAAAUGCACUACUUUUGACUCCUUACACAGAACAUUCUAUUUAAGUUUUCUGUGGCAUUUAUGACAGAGAUUGAAGAAAUGUCUUUAAAUUAUGGGGAACUUGGCUGGCAGCGAAAAGUGCAGCUAGCCCAGUAGAAGAGUUGAAGGGUCUUGGAGGCUUUCUAGGGAGAUUUAAAUAUAUAUAUAUUUAAAAGUCCAGGGAAGGCUGUCUGUUUUAUUAUACCCCAUCAUUUCUAAUGGGAAAGGAAGUGUUAUAGCUAGGAGAGAGUGUCAGAAAACUGUGUCUUCUCCAGGUAAUUCUCCACCAAAACAGCAGCAUUGACGAGCUCCUUUGACUAAGUCUGGAGAGAAAUGGAAACAAGGCUAGGGCCAGCUCCUGCGUGCUUUCAGUCUAUUUUGAUUUGUCUCUGGUUUUUCAUUUGGGUUCGCCCUCUAUAAUGUUCUUCCUGUGUGUAGUGUAAGUAGCAGGACCUUCCAGAGCUCCUUUAAUGUUCUGUCCUUCUAAAGCUGGAAAUGCCUCUCCCUUCUGCCUCUCUUGCUCUCCCUACCUCUAGGUCUUUGGGGGUUGUGUGUGUAGCUCGCUGUUAUUCAGCUACUUAACUCUUUCCUUUCCAGGUUCUUCUGGUUCUUUUAACCUCCCAAAUUCUGGGGACAUGUUCAUGAACAUGCAGAGUCUGAAUGGGGAUUCUUACCAAGGGUCCCAAGUCGGAGCCAAUGUGCAGUCACAGGUAGGAGAAAUGCCCCAGCUGGGGCCUUUCUGGCAGGGUAGGGUUUGGGCUCAAAACUCCCCGCUCUGACCUAUGGAAGUGGUCUGCACAUCUAUGCAGAACCUGUGCUGGGUGCAUCCAAACGGGACACAUUUGCCCACCCCUUAAUUCAAUGAGAAGUUAAGUGGACAAUGCCUUUGAUGAUUCAAAGCUGAUGAACUUUGUGAGUGCAUUCGGCUCUGGCUUGAGCUCAUGGAGAUGGGGGAGGGAGCCUUUGUUAUGACAGAACAGAAGAUUGUGUGUGCCUGAGACAGGGAAGGGGUGGAAAAAGAGGGAGAGAGAAAGAAUGAACAAGAGAAUAUGCUGUUCUUUUAUUCCUGCAUUUUUGCAAGUCAAGAAACUGAAACCUGAGUUCUUAAAGUAGAUUCCAGGUUCAACCCCUUUCUUGUCCUUUACACUGAGAGCAAGUAUUCUUACCCUUAGGCAUUGGUGGUAGGGACAAGGUGGGGUGUGGAUUUAGCAUUCAUUAUCUGUGAGUAGGUUUUCACCCACAGCCACACACACUUGGUUGCUGUAGAUGGAAAGUCUGCAUUACCAUGAAGAUGCUAUUGUUUGGCUGGUGUGAAAAACAAAGAUGUGUGAGUUUAAAUAUGCAAGGAAUCUUUGAAAUCCCUCCAGUCAGAUCUGAUUGAUAAAUUUGUCUCUCAUUGAAGAUGCUCCACCCUUGUGGCACACAUAACUCAAAUUGUUCCCUUUUGUAAGUGAUGAUGUUUUAAUAGAUGGAGGUGAUGAAUUCUGUUUCGUCUCACUUCUAGGUGGAUACCCUCCGUCAUGUUAUCAAUCAGACGGGAGGCUACAGUGACGGCCUUGGAGCAAACUCACUGUACAGUCCACAUAACUUAAACGUGAGUACCCUGGGGAGCAAGCUGUGGGAACUGUGUCAGGGAAACAGUGACUAAUGAACAAGUUAAUAGUCGCUGGACUUGGCUUCACGUCUUCUUGGCAGUUGGGGGCGGCAGCAUCUUUGCUAUGGUUUCAUUUUAUGGCGAGCAGUGCUUCCUGCUACCUAGCUGUCCUUUGAAACCCUCACAGAAGCCCAAAGGGGCUGGUGUCCUAUCAUCAGAGGGGAUUUAAGUACCAGCCCAUUAAGACUCCAUUUCAUAGCAGCCGUGCCGUGUGGGAAACGGGUCAUUUAUCUUAGAAUCAAGCAGCAAGAAAAUUCCCCAGCACAGAGCAGGUGAAGGUGAUAACCUUGGAGGCCCAGCACAUUGGCAACCAUGCUAAACAAAGAACCCCAUUCUAGACUGCUGGCCUGGGGUGCAAAAUGGAACCCCUGAGCUUAAUGACCUCUCUGCUUUAAUGAUAGAGAAACCUUUGUUACUGAUUCACAAACUUUCCCUUGCUUCCUCCCCUUACAUGGAUGGGAAAUGACAGACACACGGCUCUGCAAAGUGUGAGGAAUGCCCUGUUCUGGGACACAUGGCAGCAGACCAGAGGAGAAUGGAGAAAAGUCUCCUUUUUUAAGGCCUUGGUUCGCUGUAAGAGAGUAAAUAUUAAUGACUUAAAAAGUGAUUGAGGAUGUUCAAUUGUAAAGGAAAAAAAAGGACCAUUAAAUACUCAAAUCUUUUACAUUUGAAAUGUCAAAUCUUUCUUUUUGGGUUUAUAAAUAACUCAUAAUAACCCACAACAAGCCAUAUAAAAAGCCUUUUAGUUGCAUUUCUCCUUUUUCAUUUAAGUGUUUUGAAAUGCUUCAGAGAAUGUGCGAUAUCCUUAUCAACAUGAUAAAAUAUGAAGCAGUGAUUGCCUGCAGCAUUUUACAGACAUGAAUUCCAUCUUCACUGAUGAGGCUUGAUAAGACGCUGUUGUAUAAUACAGUGCAUAAUCUCAAGCCACCAGAGUAAGGAUUAAUUUAUUUUAGGG